CGCUCGUAGUCGGGUUUCGGGUCGGGCCGAGCGGUCUGCCGAUGGGUAUGCACUGUUUGGCGCGGCCUUCUUUCCGGAGACCGCGGCUACUCUUAACUGAGCGGGCGUGGGAGACGGAUCGUUUACUUUGAAAAAAUCAGAGUGUUUCAAGCAGGCAGCUCGCUCUUGCAUGGUACAGCAUGGGAUGAUUGAAUAGGACUCCGGUGCUAUUUUGUUGGUUUCGAACACCAGGAGUAAUGAUUAACAGGGACAGUCAGGGGCACUCGUAUUCCGUCGAGAGAGGUGAAAUUCUCAGACCAAUGGAAGACGAACCACUGCGAAAGCAUUUGCCAGGGAUGUUUUCACUGAUCAAGAACGAAAGUUAGGGGAUCGAAGACGAUCAGAUACCGUCGUAGUCUUAACCAUAAACCAUGCCGACUAGGGAUUGGAGGGUGUUCGUUUCGACCUCUUCAGCACCUUACGGGAAACUAAAGUCUUUGGGUUCCGGG
rnacentral:rRNA from 1 species